GAGUCACAGUUGAAGUUCAUCAUAGAGGCCUGGCAACAGAUAGUUGAGUGUAGGCAAGUGCUCAAGUGGACAUAUGCAUAUGGUUAUUAUCUACCAGAAUAUGAUCAUGCUAAGAAACAAUUUGAGUAUUUGCAAGGAAUGUAACCUCAAAGAAAUCUCCGAUGAUGAUGAACCCCCAAUAAAAGGUUCCAAGGAUAAAAAAUCAAAUGGUCCAGACUCUGGAAAAGGACCUGGUCUUGUCUUCAAGAUAACUAGCAAGGUUCCUCACAAGACAGUACUAAAAGGUACUUAUUCUUUCAUACAUUAUGUCUUUUAUCUUUAGGAUU